AGCAGCCGCGGUAAUUCCAGCUCCAAUAGCGUAUAUUAAAGUUGUUGCAGUUAAAAAGCUCGUAGUUGAAUUUCGGGAUCAAUAUGUCGGUCGUGCUUCGGUACGUACUGGUAUCAUUGGUUUCUCCUUUCUGACGAACCAUGAUGUCAUUAAUUUGGUGUUAUGGGGAGUUAGGACUGUUACUUUGAAAAAAUUAGAGUGUUUAAAGCAGGCUUUAGCUUGAAUACAUUAGCAUGGAAUAAUGAAAUAGGACGUUCGAACCUAUUUUUGUUGGUUUCUAGGAUCAACGUAAUGAUUAAUAGGGAUAGUUGGGGGGCAUUAGUAUUCAAUUGUCAGAGGUGAAAUUCUUGGAUUUAUUGAAGACUAACUACUGCGAAAGCAUUUGCCAAGGAUGUUUUCAUUAAUCAAGAACGAAAGUUAGGGGAUCGAAGACGAUCAGAUACCGUCGUAGUCUUAACCAUAAACUAUGCCGACUAGGGAUCGGAUGAUGUUAAUUUUUUAAUGACUCAUUCGGCGCCUU
rnacentral:rRNA from 1 species